rnacentral:rRNA from 1 species
GACAGAGGAGCCAAGCGUUGUCCGGAUUGACUGGGCGUAAAGCGCACGCAGGCGGAACGGCGCGUGGGGUGUGAAAGCUGGCGGCUUAACUGCCAGUCGCCAUCCCAUACGGCCAUUCUGGAGCCUUGCAGAGGGCAGUGGAAUUGCCGGUGUAGUGGUGAAAUGCGUAGAGAUCGGCAGGAACACCCAGGGGGAAACCAGCUGCCUGGGCAAGCGCUGACGCUGAGGUGCGAGAGCGUGGGGAGCGAACAGG